AAGUGUUUUCAAGUGACUUUUGGAACCCCUAUGUACCCUAGUUUGGUUAUAUGUUAUUUCCCUUUAGUUUGAGUGGUUUUGGGAUUUCUUUGGAUGAAAAAUGUUCAUGGAGCUCUUAUGGGUUUUUCAUGAAUGUUCUUCAUUGUUCUUGACAUUUUAGCCAAGAACAAAAGGUUUGGUGUUUUGAUUCAAAGUUUUGAUUUAUUUCAUAAAGUCUUUGUUUUGUGCUUUAUCAAAUGUUUUAAUGUGAUAGAAAUUGUGUAAGGUGAUAGAAAUGGUGAUGGGUGUGUAAGAAGUACCUCUCUUACACACACAUCACUUGCAUGACUUUAUGUCAUGCACCACUUGCAUGAAUUAAUGUCACACUUAUCUUGCACCACUUGCAAGGCUUUAUGACUUUGAAAAAAAUUUCAAAAUUUUUGUGGACUCCUCUCCCAAAACCGGCCACUCCCUCAAUGGGAGUACUUUUGGGG
rnacentral:lncRNA from 1 species